AUAAGCGGAGGAAAAGAAACUAAUCAAGGAUUUUCCCUAGUAACUGCGAGUGAAGUGGGAAAAGCUCAAAUUUAAAAUCUGGCAGUCAUUUGGCUGUCCGAGUUGUAAUCUAGAGAAGUGUUGCCCGUGCUGGACCAUGUACAAGUCUCCUGGAAUGGAGCAUCACAGAGGGUGAGAAUCCUGUCUUUGACAUGGACUACCAGUGCUUUUUGUGGUAUGCUCUCAAAGAGUCGAGUUGUUUGGGAAUGCAGCUCAAAAUGGGUGGUAAAUGCCAUCUAAAGCUAAAUAUUGGCGAGAGACCGAUAGUGAACAAGUACCGUGAGGGAAAGAUGAAAAGAACUUUGGAAAGAGAGUUAAACAGUACGUGAAAUUGCUGAAAGGGAAACGCUUGAAGUCAGUCACGUUGACUUGGAAUCAGCUCUGCUUUUGCUGGGUGUACUUUCUUGUCAAUGGGUCAGCAUCAAUUUUGACCAUUGGAUAAGGUCGUUGGGAAUGUAGCAUCUUUUCAGAUGUGUUAUAGCCUGGCGAUGCAUACAGUGGCUGGGAUUGAGGAAUUCAGCACGCCACCAGGCCGGGUUUCGACCACGUUCGUGCUUAGGAUGCUGGCAUAAUGGCUUUAAUUGACCCGUCUUGAAACACGGACCAAGGAGUCUAACAUAUCUGCGAGUGUUUGGGUGGAAAACCCAUGUGCGUAAUGAAAGUGAAAGUUGAGAUCCCUUUUCUCAAGGGGAGCACCGACGCCCGGACCAGACCUUUUGUGACGGAUCCGCGGUAGAGCAUGUAUGUUGGGACCCGAAAGAUGGUGAACUAUGCCUGAAUAGGGUGAAGCCAGAGGAAACUCUGGUGGAGGCUCGUAGCGAUUCUGACGUGCAAAUCGAUCGUCAAAUUUGGGUCAUAGGGGCGAAAGACUAAUCGAACCAUCUAGUAGCUGGGUCCUG
rnacentral:rRNA from 1 species